GCUGGGUGCGGUGGCGCAUGCCUAUAGUCCCAGCUACUCAGGAGGCUGAGGCUGGAGGAUUGCUUGAGUACAGGAGUUCUGGGCUAUGGUGUGCUAUGUCAAUAGGGUGUCACCAAUAAGUUCGGCAUCAAUACAGUGACCUCCCAGGAGCCGGGAACCACCAGGUUGCCUAAGGAGGGGUGAACCAGCCCAGGUUGGAAACAGAGCAGGUCAAAACUCCUGUGCCGAUCAGUAGUGGGAUCGCACCCAUGAAUAGCCAUUGCACUCCAGCCUGGGCAACAUAGCAAGACUCUGUCUCU
rnacentral:SRP_RNA from 1 species